rnacentral:rRNA from 1 species
UACGUAGGGUGCGAGCGUUGUCCGGAAUUAUUGGGCGUAAAGGGCUCGUAGGCGGUCUGUCACGUCGGGAGUGAAAACUCAGGGCUUAACCCUGAGCCUGCUUCCGAUACGGGCUGACUAGAGGUAUGCAGGGGAGAACGGAAUUCCUGGUGUAGCGGUGAAAUGCGCAGAUAUCAGGAGGAACACCGGUGGCGAAGGCGGUUCUCUGGGCAGUACCUGACGCUGAGGAGCGAAAGUGUGGGGAGCGAACAGG